rnacentral:misc_RNA from 1 species
GAUGAAGAACGUAGCGAAAUGCGAUAAGUAAUGUGAAUUGCAGAAUUCAGUGAAUCAUCGAAUCUUUGAACGCACAUUGCGCCCGCCAGUAUUCUGGCGGGCAUGCCUGUUCGAGCGUCAUUUCAACCAUCAAGCCCCCGGGCUUGUGUUGGGGACCUGCGGCUGCCCGCAGGCCCUGAAAACCAGUGGCGGGCUCGCUGUCACACCGAGCGUAGUAGCAUCAUCUCGCUCAGGGCGUGCUGCGGGUUCCGGCCGUUAAAAAGCCUCUAAUACCCAAGGUUGACCUCGGAUCAGGUAGGAAGACCCGCUGAACUUAAGCAUAUCAUAAGCGGAGGA